AAUCUGUGAUGAGGGCAUUUGGUUUGAUAACCCUUAAAGCGCUCCCAAGCUUCACAAAAGCUUUCAUUUUGCUUUUGAGUGAAUCCGAAUAUCUCGUUCCGGAGUCU
rnacentral:snoRNA from 1 species